GCCGCAGAUCGAUAGAGAGCGUUCAUUGGCGCACAAUCAGCUCUUGGGCCAAUCAGCACCAAUGUUUUAGAGCACACAGUAUGUUACCCGCCAUGAAACAAACAACAUGCUUCUGCCUGACUUGCCGAGUGGCGUGACCACCACCAUCGGCUGGGACAAAUACGAAGUGCUGGUGAAAUCUGGGCUGCAAGUCUGGCUCAAAGCGGACCACCUCCCUGCUGCCUCAAACUUUGGUGCUACGGGUACUUGUGUGAUGGGGAGAUACAGAUUUAGCACAUUUCCAAAGAGGAUGUCUCUGAUGCGGAGUUGAGUCAGCCACGGAGGCUACAAUGACUGAACUGAUUGAGGACAUUUGGAGCUGUGGCUAUAAUGGGCCUGUUAAUGUUGAAAAGAGGGAAGAAAUUCUUUGGUAUAAUUGUUUUUUCACUAUGCUAAUCCUUGUCAAUGAUGUUAA